GCUGGGCUGAGUGGCGUAUGUCUGUAAUCCCAGCAGCUGGGGAGGCUGAGGUAGGAGGAUUGCAAGUUCAAAGCCAGCCUCAGCAACAGUGAGGUGCUAAGUAAUUCAGUGAGAACCUUUCUCUA
rnacentral:sRNA from 1 species